ensembl:lincRNA Platr22 pluripotency associated transcript 22
GAAUGUGGCUUCAGGCCUGGCCGUUUCCUCUUUGUUUAGUUAGCGAUUACCAAACACUUUUGUGUGGGUGCGGAUCGGGCUACCGGACUGCCUUGAAUCUCUGCUGCUUGCGCCCCGAAAAGGAAGAGGAUCAGUACCACGUGACCACCGGCGGCAAGCUCCGUUAGGAAAAGAUGUGAAGGUUAGUUACCCUGUAAGUCACCGUGUAGCUGAAGAUGACCUUGAACUUCUAAUCCUGGCUCUGCUCCCCAUUUCUGGGAUUAUAGGCUUGGGCCACUACAUUCCAUUUAGUGCUGGGAUUAUAGGCGUGCACCUCCUGGCUUUUCUCUUCAUUCUUCAAGGAAUGCCCAUACUGGCUUCCAGAGAAGCUUGGUCACGUUACAUCCAUCUCUAUAGUGGUCUUGCUCUGUAUCCCUGGAUGGUUGGAACCCAUUCUAUAGCCCAGAUUCUGGAUAUCAAUCUCUUGCUCAGUAGAUAGGGGGGUAACAUUUUCCUCCCAUUUUGAAGCUUGUCUCUUCACUCUGGUAACGGUUUCCAUGGCUAUGCAUAAACAUUUUAACUUCAUGUGGAUCAUGUUCAGGGCAGGACGAAUGUUCAGGAUGGACAAGACCAGUCGCUACUCCUUAUGGAGCCUGUCACUCACACCAUAGAGGAAGAAACCAGGAGGGCUAUUUUGGGCAGUUCUAAGAUGCUCCAAGGACUGAGUAAGUCUCUCUUCUAGACAAGACAUGGGGGAAAAAAUAGCUUCUUGGGGGGAUGCAAGAGUGAAAGUCUCCAGAUUUGGAGAUCACUGGAGAACAUUCAAACCAUCUCAGCAGCUGGCUCCUGUGGUCAGUGCUUGCCUAGUGCUUAAGGAAGAGCUUGGGUUUCAUCCCCGGCACUAGAGAAGACAGUGUCAGAGACGAUGAUGGCUCUGUGUAACCUACACUGUGUAAACAGAGAAGGCAUUUCUACAAGCUAAACAAACCAUGAAACCACGAAUCCUCACACCCUCGUUACUAUCUCAUGGUGAUCCAAGAUCCAGAGCCUGUCAGAAGCAGAUGGAGACACAACCCAGAACACCCACAAGCCAUUCCCAUCCAAUUUACCCCAGAAAUGCAACUCUCUCUGACUGUGGGACAAGGUUAAAGGGUUUUGUUUUGUUUUUCUUUUUUUCUUUCAGUAGUUAACCACCAGAUUUGAACCAAAAAACAUUUAGUGUUUAAAAAAAAAAAGAAGAAGAAAGAAAGAAAGAAAGAAAAAAGAAAAUAAUUUCCAAGAAUAAUCUUGUAUUUAAAUUAUUGUCCCAGGAUGUAUGAUUUAUUUGUACUGAUUUUUCUCCCUACAGCACAAAACAAUGAGGUUGCUUUGCUUGGGUAUACCGAGGGACUUUGGGCUGUCCAUAUUUGUCUACAAAAAUCUAUUGUGGGAAUCGGAGAGACAGCUCAGUGGUUAAGAGAACUCGCUGUCCCUGCAACCACACAGCACCUGACAACUGGCCAUAACUCUAGUUCUAAGGAUACAAUGUCCUCUCAGACUUCGGAGAGCACCAGGCAUGCAUGUGGUGCAUAGACACACAUGUGAGGAAAACGUUCAUAGACAUAAACUAAAGAAAUCUUUCUAAAAAAGGUUUUAUUU